AAACGUUGGUACUGGUAGCCCAUGAAAUCGACACUGCGGUUUCCUGCAGCCCCGGCCCGUGGGCCUGGCCGCGGGGUCUGAGUUCCGCGGGGUUUGGUUCUGCUGGGAGAAGGGAUAGGGCGGGCGGCAGCGGGCCGGGUGCUCCAAGGGCAGGGAAAGGGUCUGGCACCGCCGCUUUCCUCAAGUAGACGCGGUGAUUCGGGCUCGGGUUGGAUAUUAAUCAUCCACAGCAUAUAGUUUUUUUACUGUCAGCACGGGAACAAAAAAAUCAAGCAGAAAACAGAACGAGAUACAUCGCGCAGCUUUCUUAUUCGGAAAGGAGAAGGGGAGAUGUAAUGGACAGAGAGCGUGCUGAUCUCAUUCAGAUCAAAGCUGUGGCAAACGUCUAGCACCGCGUUAAGCUGCUUCACGUUUGUGCUGGAGGAAAAGAUGCUCCGUAGAAACAAUAUGUGCAGCUCAACCCCAGCUAAAACAAUUUAUCCCAAGGAAAUUCAGAAGAGUGCAAUGAGGAGGAUAUUAUAUGAUUCUGCUGUGGCAAGGGGUAAGAGGAAAGACGCUGCAGAUCGACCGAACCGAGCGGCGGGGAUGGACUGAGAGUAUCCGACUCCGGGGUCAGAAUGGGACUGAAUAGCUGAGCUGAAACGUCCUGGCUAAAGUGCCGUUCAACAGCGAUCUCCGUGCAGCUCUGGCGUAUAACUCGUAGGGAUACUGUUUCAACCACAUACUUUUCUCCCCCGCCCUCCCUCCCCCCCUUUUUUUUUCCAAAUUUUUAUUUUGUUUUAAAAUUAAAGGCCAAAGGGAGAAAAGACCCUCUCCAAUGUGCACUUAAUGCAUAUAGCGUACUUGCCUGGUACCACCCCCAGCUUCAGCCCUCAAUCCCCCUUCACACGGACGUAGUGGCUCUGUACUCUCGGGCUCUUUCAAGGCGUUUAGGCUGCUAAAAUGUACUGACAGCUUCAGAAAUGAAUGAGGUUUUUUUCAGGCCUGAAGAAAGGGUAUUUAAUAACCACGCUUCGAUGGCAUCAUGCUUCUAUGAAACGAGUCCGGACACUUUGGUUUAGCAAUCAGUAAUAUCACAUUCGGUACAGUAAAUGCCUCCGUGUACGCUUAUAUAAUUCUAUUCCCCCUUGACUAUAAACUUGCCUUAUUUAUUCCAGGUUACCUGAGGCAAUUAAGGUAAAGACUGCUCAGCAGAUACUGAUACCCUGCUGCUAAGGCAUGGCGAAUGGGGACGGAGCAGUGCGCUAACAAAGGGAAAGAGGUAGUCAAACAUUUUGAAGAGGGGUGAAUGGGACUGAAGGUGGAUGGAUGAAUGGAGGCAAAGAGGGAGAAGCAUUCAAUGGUCCAGACUUCUCUCCGCAUUUGUAGAUUUAAGUUUAGGUAUCCGCCUCUAGCCAGCUUCCAGUUAAUCCUCAACAGCUUCUAGUGAUUAGAAGUUAGUCUAUUUAGCAUGCUAUAUCCUUCUUCCAUGGGUUUUAGUUACAAGUUAUACGAUUAGGAUUGCGAGAACAGUAGUGAACUAAACUUCCCAGUAAGAGGUCUUCACACCAGGGAAGUGUUACUUUGCUGCAGCAGCCCUGCCUCGUCAGUCAUUAGGAAGCUGCAGGUUGUCAGAGGCUUCUCUUGCGCGCACACAAGCGCAGACACACACGCGCACACACACAAAACCACAGCACUAAAACUAAAUUAAGAAGCCGAUGAUUAAGACAAGCGUCUACGAGGCCUGUCAUUUCAGCAUCCUUCCAUCAUAACAUUGUGGCACCAAGAAAUUUGCUUGAAAACCCUGGAAAAAAUGUCUAUGGGAGAGCCUCUUGUUUGAGGCUGCUAAUAUCAAAUAUAGACUGGGAACUGCCUCGGAUGCAAGAUAGUAUUCUGCAGAGAAAAGGAGCACGGCAGAGACCUUGGUGCUCUCCACGCACUCCCGGGACUCUGGACUGACUUGAUCGUCUCUGAAAAUGCAGAACAGCCCAUGAGAUCUCUCCUUUCCACCAACCGUGUGGAAGAUGCUUGCAGAACAGCCCUGAAAACAAAACAACUUAAAUGAAGGCAGUUCAUGCAACAAUUGUGUCGUAGAAUACCUAAAAUUUCUUUAUCUGUAACUAACUUAUUUAAUUUUGGAUAGUUCAAUAAAUGUCAGCUAUGCCAAGCAUA